CAAGUCGAGCGGUAACAGAUCUAGCUUGCUAGAUGCUGACGAGCGGCGGACGGGUGAGUAAUGCAUAGGAAUCUGCCCGGUAGUGGGGGAUAACCUGGGGAAACCCAGGCUAAUACCGCAUACGUCCUACGGGAGAAAGGGGGCUUCGGCUCCCGCUAUUGGAUGAGCCUAUGUCGGAUUAGCUAGUUGGUGAGGUAAAGGCUCACCAAGGCAACGAUCCGUAGCUGGUCUGAGAGGAUGAUCAGCCACAUCGGGACUGAGACACGGCCCGAACUCCUACGGGAGGCAGCAGUGGGGAAUAUUGGACAAUGGGGGCAACCCUGAUCCAGCCAUGCCGCGUGUGUGAAGAAGGCCCUCGGGUUGUAAAGCACUUUCAGCGAGGAAGAACGCCUAGCGGUUAAUACCCGUUAGGAAAGACAUCACUCGCAGAAGAAGCACCGGCUAACUCCGUGCCAGCAGCCGCGGUAAUACGGAGGGUGCAAGCGUUAAUCGGAAUUACUGGGCGUAAAGCGCGCGUAGGUGGCUUGAUAAGCCGGUUGUGAAAGCCCCGGGCUCAACCUGGGAACGGCAUCCGGAACUGUCAGGCUAGAGUGCAGGAGAGGAAGGUAGAAUUCCCGGUGUAGCGGUGAAAUGCGUAGAGAUCGGGAGGAAUACCAGUGGCGAAGGCGGCCUUCUGGACUGACACUGACACUGAGGUGCGAAAGCGUGGGUAGCAAACAGGAUUAGAUACCCUGGUAGUCCACGCCGUAAACGAUGUCGACCAGCCGUUGGGUGCCUAGAGCACUUUGUGGCGAAGUUAA
rnacentral:rRNA from 1 species